CAAAGAGACACCAUCACCUGUGCUCACAGCAUGUGGUUUACUUUCAGCAGUAACAGAAUCGCUGCAACAGAUAUCAAUAGAACUUUACACUUGGUAGGGUGGG